rnacentral:rRNA from 1 species
GACGAACGCUGGCGGCGUGCUUAACACAUGCAAGUCGAACGGAAAGGCCCUGCUUUUGUGUUGUGCUCGAGUGGCGAACGGGUGAGUAACACGUGAGUAACCUGCCCUUGACUUUGGGAUAACUUCAGGAAACUGGGUCUAAUACCGGAUAGGAGCUCCUGCUGCAUGGUGGGGGUUGGAAAGUUUCGGCGGUUGGGGAUGGACUCGCGGCUUAUCGGCUUGUUGGUGGUGUAGUGGCUUACCAAGGCUUUGACGGGUAGCCGGCCUGAGAGGGUGACCGGGCACAUGGGGACUGAGAGACGGACCAGACUGGUACGGGAGGCAGCAGUGGGGAAUAUUGCACAAUGGGCGGAAGCCUGAUGCAGCAGCGCCGCGUGCGGGAUGACGGCCUUCGGGUUGUAAACCGGUUUCGCCGGUGACGAAGGGUGAGUGACGGUAAUGGGUAAAGAAGCACCGGCUAACUACGUG